rnacentral:tRNA from 1 species
GGUCUUGUAUUCAAUAGUGAUUUUAAAUUGCAAAUUUAAAGGUGGGCUUAGGCCCUAAGGCCU